rnacentral:lncRNA from 1 species
GUGCCCAGGAUAGUGUCUGGGACAGAGCAGGGAUUUCUUACGUAAGUGAAAGAAGGGAAAACAAAAUUCGAAAGCAGGUGGGACGAUUCCGGGACGAGUGUCUUGAACAGACACACCUCUAAGUGACAUCUGGUUAUAAGAGGAAAAUUCAGACCCUGUGCUGAAUGCAGAAAAUGCAGAGUUCCCUGAUGGCUCAGCCGAUGACUUCUGGAGGAACUUGAGAGUUUCUUUUUGACCCUCACUAAGGAGGCUGCAAGCUCUGGUAAAUAGAGCAGAAACGUAGACAUUUGUGAAUAUGGAACCCCAAUGAAAACUUGUUUUGAAAACUACAGGAAAAAAAAAAAAAAAAGAGGCUUGUCUGAUCCCACCUGGAGGGUGAAACAAAUGGGUCCCAGAGAAAAUCUAGUCCAAUGACACCAUGAAGGCUGAUGGCACUCCGGUGGCAGUAGGCCAGCAGCAUUGCUACAAGAACAGAUGGAAGAUGGGAUGCAUUUGUAGCCAACAAGAGGCUCCUCAUAGGUACCACAGCACGCCUUGCCAGGAAUAACGAUGGCGACGUGGGGGAAUAACCUCUAUAAGUCCUACGUGUGUGUCUUGCUCAAACUCAGCUUUUUAAAUCGUUGCGUGUGUUUCGAAAGGCCUCCACUAGAAUCCGUGGACUGCUGGCCUUAGGGGACCUUUGGUCUCGGGAGUGUGUGGAGAGGGGGGUGUGUGCUGCGCCUCCCCACGUGUUAGGACGAGACUCAGCUGAAAGAUGUGACUUAGACAUCCAAAGAGGUACUCCAUGAAUCUUGUACAGUUGAUGUUUACUCUCUAAGAAAAGCAUGUGGGCUUGCAUUGCUCCCGUGUGUAAAUAUUUUGUUUAGCACCUAGUGCGGCGCUAACAACAAUGUGAUAAGUGCUUGCCAAAUAUAGUCUAAAUACAUACAUUGAUUUGAUGCCCUGAAGUUUGGCAUUCUUUAUUGUUUUGCCAUUUGUUCAGCCGCAGCGUCAGAGGUGCUUACAGACAAGGCAUCUCCUCCUCCCUCAUGGUUCCUGGGCCACCCAAGGUUGAGCUCUGUAGCUUUCUCUGAAGGCACUUGACCCUUUCGAGCCUUCCUAUCAGCACCUUUGGUAAAAAGAGGGAUGUAGCACAUAAAUGAACAGAAACCCCACUCCCUGUGGCACCAUAUUCAGAGCCCCCUGGAAAGUAAAGGCAGGGCUGGUACCUGAUGGUAGCACAUAGAAUGGUAACUAGCACAGGUUCAGGGUUCCCAGGAGCAGAGGCAAAAUGGGUUCUGCUACUUCGCUCACACAGAAGUUGCCAGAAGUUACGAUGCUUCAGUUUCCUAACCAGUAAAAAUUGGCCCAUUCUGAAGCCCAUUGUGCGGUUCAGAUGAGCUGAAUUAUGACGCUUGUUGAGCAUGGUGCUAGCACAUCAUAAACGUGUGAUCCUUAGCAGCGUUGGCCAGGAUGCCAGCCCUUGAUGGUGACAGUAAUGAUGGUGGGGACAGCGACGGUGACAGGAUGAUGUGAGGACCUAAUGGCCCUCAGCUCGCUAGGCUUCACCUGAAGAUCUGUUCCUAGCUCGUGGUUCUGGGUCUAAGACUUUCUUCAAAUAUCCUCUUAGUUUUUGGAACACUUAAACUGGCUCUCUCAAUUAAAUUACCUUGAAAACCAAUAACUUUUUGUUUUAAUAGAAGGAAUUUGCUGAAUUCUCUGCCAGGCUUUGCCCAGCGGCAGUGUCGUAGCCAAUGAGGUUAUCGGAGACGCGAUUAUUGCUCAUUGAAUUCUGUGCCAUCGUCAGAAAAAUGGUUUGCCUGCUACUGAGCUGUUUAUUCCAGGGUUCUCUGCAUGAAAUCAGGAGCCACUUCGAGGAUGGUGUUUUGUGUUAUUUCGGCCCCCUUGGCACUCUCUCCUACCGCUAAUAGCAAAUGAAGAGACUGUGCUGUGUUGUAAUUUUUAGUUCUUUCCUGGACAGCUUUUCUCCUACUUGGCACAUCUGGCAAAGGGGAAAACUUUCAUCGUCUGCAGCUGGGUGCAAAGUCAAAACUCGUGGGGCUUUAAAGCACACCUUUUGUCCAAAGACCUAGCAGCCUUCUUCCAUGGUCUCUAAGGAGUCUCGUGGUCAGGUUGUGACUUUGACAAAAAGAGGAAUUCACUCCAUUCUGCAAAUACCCUGGAGGCCCCAGACCUUGCUGGAGUUAAGAAUUCACUCUUUAAUAGCCGAAACCCAGUAGAAAGCUCUACGCUUCUCUUUCAGUGCUACAUUUUGCCUUUAUCAAGAAAGGUAGAACCUCCCUUUUUUUGAGGUACGAUCUCCCAAAACUGUGAUUUUGAGGGGUUUUUUGUUGUUGUCCAGGAAAGUCCAACACCAGAGGGCGAUGUGAACACAACAUUCUAACUAGUUUUUAAAUACAGUUUAUUUUUGGUGUGUAAACAAAAUAAGUAUAUUUUUGUGUUCCUACUCAUUCAUUUUUCUCCUCCAGAAUUUUUUUCUAGCCACCGACAUUUUAAUCACUCUGUCCAUUUCCCCACUUUUGCAUUUUUCAAAGACCCGAAAGAUAAGAAAUCAUCCAUCCAUUUAACUGGUAUUUAUUGAGUACCUAUUAUAUGCAAGACACCAUAUUCAAGGUUUGGAGGGGAGGUCUCAUCGUGACUCUGGUUAACGAAUCCAACGAGGAACCAUGGGGUUGCGGGUUCGAUCCCCGGCCUUGCUCAGUGGGUUGAGGAUCUGGCGUUGCCGUGAGCUGUGGUGUAGGUCGCAGAUGCGGCUCGGAUCCCGUGUUGCUGUGGCUCUGGCGUAGGCCGGUGACUACAGCUCCGAUUGGACCCCUAGCCUGGGAACCUCCAUGUGCUACGGAAGCGGCCCAAGAAAUGGCAAAAAGACAAAAAUAAAUAAAUACAUAAAUGAAGGUUUGGAGGACGUUUGUACAGGACUAGAUAAAGACUCGGUACAGAAGGAUCUGUUGGUCAGCUUCUGCAAACCAGGCCCUCUGAAAGGUACUACCGGGACUAUUAGGAGGAACCAGGCAGCUCCUGUUCUCAAGAAACUUCCCGUCUAUUGCAGGACUGUGGUUCUAUGCUUUUCUUCGGUUGGUAAAGACAGUGUCACUUACCCGGAAUCCUUCCUCCUCCAACCAUCUCUUAAGACGUUGCUCGGAAAACCUGCUUUCUUUUCUCCACCCUUCCAGGUAGAAUUGGCCCUGUCCUUUCCCAAGGCUCUAACCUCCUUCGUUAAGACUCACCGCAUUGCAAAAGGAGGUGGGAAGAGCUGGAGCCAGACUCCUGGAAAUAGGAAGGCAUUCAGUAUGUUUAGGUUAAGCCGGGAUUAGUAUCUCUAGGUUCCUUGGGCCAGGAUUGGGAGAAGGAUGCAAGGAAAGCGGAUUUAGGUCAGACUGUGAACAGACUUGAAUUUCAGGUUACAAAAAAAAAAUCCUGAUUUUCUUCUGUGGCAAUGGAUAACCGGUGUUUUAGAAUAGCACAGGAGCUGGAUUAAAAAGAAGCAGCAGGAGUUCCUGUCGAGGCUCAGCAGUAACGAACCUGACUAGGAUCCAUGAGGACGUGGGUUCCAUCCCUGGCCUCGCUCCGUGGGCUAAGGAUCUGGUGUUGCCGUGAGCUGUGGUGUAGGUCACAGAGGCAGCUUGGAUCUGGCGUUCCUGUGGCUGUGGUGUAGCCUGGCAACUGUAGCUCUGAUUCGAACGCCUAGCCUGGGAACCUCCAUGUGCCACGGGUGUGGCCCUAAAAAGACAAAGAGGGAGGCAGCAAAAUAGAGGGAGAAAAAGCAUGGUCACCACCGGUUAGGGGGCUCAGGCAAUAAGCUUUGAGGACACGGAGAUGAUUUAAGGUUAGAACCAAGAGGUCUUAGAACUUACAGAUUUAUUCCAAGCACGUCUAUGCAAAAGCGUGGUAUUUUUGGAUGACCAAAAGGGCUGUAAAAAUUACGCUUUCUCAUAACAGUCACAGCUCAAGCUCAAAGGGCACACGCCCUGCUAUGCCUGCAUUUAUUCAUUUCUUCCCUAAGCAGCUGAUGAACCUCUAUUCUCUGCCAGACCCUGAGCUGUGUUCCAAGCAUUUGGGAGAUAAUUGAGACCAAGACCGGGUUCCUGCCUUCAAGGAGCUCACCGUUUGAUGGGAGAAGUAUAGUUGUGUACAAACAGAUGUGAAAACGUACAAGAAUGGCCCGAGCGGAGAUGCCUCCGGGGAGAAGGUGACCCUUCUGAGGUUCCAGAUGAAAAGGGACGUGUGGCUGUGUUGGGACAGGGUGCUGAGGACCUGCGUGUGUGGUGACAUAGGACUGUGACCAGGGAUGAAGAAAUAAUCGCAUGGCCCUGACUCCGAAGAGCUCUCAGCUCUCUGGUCCUGGCCUCUCUGGGUGGACAACGCGCUGUUGGUGCAUCCCUGUGAUUCUCUUAGGUUGUACGGUCUUCACAGGGAGGGACAGGAUAGUGAAAGAAGACACAGGCUGGAAACCGUGAUAACUCAGUGCCAGUUAUAUGGGAGAAUCAGUUUUUUAUACGAUUCAAAUAUUUUUCAACUGAAAAUUAACACUUGAAAUUGUGCCCAGGGAAACAGUUACAUUGGGAUGGUGGAAAAACAAAGAAUGGGAGUUCCCCUCGUGAACGAACCCAACUAGUACCCAUGAGGGCGCGGGUUCCAUCCCUGGCCUUGCCCAGUGGGUUAAGGACCCAGCAUUGCCGUGAGCUGUGCUGUAGGUCACUGGUGUGGCUCAGAUCUGGUGUCACUGUGCCCGUGGGGUAGGCCGGCAGCUGCAGGUCCGAUUUGACUCCUAGCCCGGGAAUUUCCAUAGGCUGCUGGUGCAGCCCUGAAAAGACAAAAAGGAAGGGAGGAAAGAAAGAAAAAGAAAGAAAGAGAAAAACGAAAGAAUGUCAAUCUGUGUUAAAAUCCCAUAUUGAGGGAGUUCCCGUCGUGGCUCAGUGGUUAACAAAUCCGACUAGGAGCCAUGAGGUUGUGGGUUUGAUCCCUGCCCUUGCUCAGUGAGUUAAGGAUCCAGCAUUGCCGUGAGCUGUGCUGUAGGUCACAGAUGUGGCUUGGAUCCUGCGUUGCUGUGGCUGUGGCGUAGGCCGGUGGCUACAGCUCCAACUGGACCCUUAUGCCGCAGAAGCGGCCCAAGAAAUGACAAGAAGACAAAAAAAUAAAAUAAAAUAAAAUUCCAUAUUGAUAAUUGUGACAUGGUAAUUUCAAAACCACAGCAAUACAUGUCAGGAUGAACAGGUGCUCUUCUGCCUGCAAAUAAGCUCUGGGAUGGAGAAAAGAGUUACACAUAAGAUUUGAGCCUCUAAGUUCUCAAUUAGUAUUAUUAUUUUUUUAGUUAUUCUGUUGGGUAUAUAGAAAGGUGCAUGGAAAACGUUUUUCUACAAGCAUUUAAGGCAGGGUUACUAUUUUUUUCCUUUUUUUUUUUAUGUUAUGCGCAUUCCUUGGCAGGGCUUAGAAAUCUCUCUCCUCCAAAACUGAAUAAAAAAGGCCUCUCCUUGUGCUUUUUUUGUCAGGCUGAUAAAGCCCUAGAGAAAUGAAAACGUAGUAUAAGGAAGUAUAUGAAAACUAGUAUGGUUCGUUCUUACCCCCGAGCUCCCUUGUAAGAACAUUCUCUGAUUUUGCUGUGUGUGUACAUCUCUUGUGGAGGGGGUUUAAUUAGCUACGAGUUACGACAAAGAUGUUUGAAAGAAAAUAUAUCUGUGCUGCAGAUGCCUUGAUUUUCAUUCGGGCCGAACAGCUAUGUUCUUAACUCCCUUAUUGGGAAGUUACAUGAACCGUGCGGGCGAAAUUGGGAACAUCUCCACACUGUUUGAAAAAUAGAUUUUUUGGUAAACCGAUUUAGCCUUUUCACUGUUUGCAUUUCAUUAUUAUAGGAGACUUCCUGUCAGAAAAUCGGUACUCAUUCAAAAUAGAGAAUUUCGAGAUAGGACUGUAGCCAGAUUAAAAAAUAUAUAUCUAUUGCCCAGGUCAGGCCUACUAAGCAUAGAAAAAUAUAUCCACGUGGGGAUCCUAGCGUGUUCUCCACCGGGAAGGGACUGACAUUCCUGAGUCAGGACUCAGACUCAGGGCUUAAGAUGUGGUUGGAGCUGUACUGACAGAUAAUCUGCUGGGCCAGGAGUGAAGGAGGAAGGUGUCUGGCUGGAUAGACUGUAGAAAAGAGGCAGGUUUGUUAUUUACAUCUUAGCUUGUCAUUUUUUUUUUAAUUUUUUUCUUUUUAUGGCCACACAUGCAGCAUAUGGAAGUUCCCAGGCUAAGGGCUGAAUCAGAGUUGCACCUGCCAACCUGGACCACAGCUCAUGGCAAUGCCGGAUCCUUAACCCACUGCAUGAGGCCAGGGAUCGAACCUGCGUCCUCAUGGAUACUAGUCAGAUUUGUUUCCACUGAGCCAUGACGGGAACUCCAAUAUUUUUAAAUGUUUAAAAAAUUGUUCUCAAGUAUAAUUGAUUUACAAUGUUGUAUUAAUUUCUGCUGUACUGCAAACUAAUUCAGUUACACCUAUACUCAUAUCCAUUCCCAAAUAGGUAUCACAGAAUAUUGAGUCAAUUUCCCUGGCUAUACAGCAGGUCCCCGUUGAUCAUCCAUUCCAUGCACAAAAGCCUCCGUGCUAAAUUCCAUUUGACCAUUAUUUUCUGUGAGAAAAAUUAUCCACCUUUGCUGUACAUCCAUUCAAAUGAUGCAUAAAACUUGAAGGAAGAAAAUGAAGUGAAUCUUAUUGUCUAUAAUACCCUGUUAACCAUUUCACAUCUGCUUUUUACUCUCAAGCAGAGCAUUAAGAUAGACUUCUAGGGGGAGUUCCCGUCAUGGCUCAGUGGUUAACGAAUCCGACUAGGAACCAUGAGGUUGUGGGUUCGAUCCCUGCCCUUGCUCAGUGGGUUAAGGAUCCGGCGUUGCUCUGAGCUGUGGUGUAGAUUGCAGACGCAGCUCAGAUCCCACGUUGCUGUGGCUCUGGUGUAGGCCGGUAGCUGCGGCUCCGAUUGGACCCCUAGCCUGGGAACCUCCACAUGCCACAGGAAGCAGCCCUAGAAAAGGCCAAAAAAAAAAA